GAUGAACGCUGGCGGCGUGCCUAAUACAUGCAAGUCGAGCGAACAGACGAGGAGCUUGCUCCUCUGACGUUAGCGGCGGACGGGUGAGUAACACGUGGAUAACCUACCUAUAAGACUGGGAUAACUUCGGGAAACCGGAGCUAAUACCGGAUAAUAUAUUGAACCGCAUGGUUCAAUAGUGAAAGACGGUUUUGCUGUCACUUAUAGAUGGAUCCGCGCCGCAUUAGCUAGUUGGUAAGGUAACGGCUUACCAAGGCAACGAUGCGUAGCCGACCUGAGAGGGGGAUCGGCCACACGGGAACUGAGACACGGUCCAGACUCCUACGGGAGGCAGCAGUAGGGAAUCUUCCGCAAUGGGCGAAAGCCUGACGGAGCAAAGCCGCGUGAGUGAUGAAGGUCUUCGGAUCGUAAAACUCUGUUAUUAGGGAAGAACAAAUGUGUAAGUAACUAUGCACGUCUUGACGGUACCUAAUCAGAAAGCCACGGCUAACUACGUG
rnacentral:rRNA from 1 species